rnacentral:rRNA from 1 species
AGUGAACGCUGGCGGUAGGCCUAACACAUGCAAGUCGAACGGCAGCACAGUAAGAGCUUGCUCUUACGGGUGGCGAGUGGCGGACGGGUGAGGAAUACAUCGGAAUCUACUUUUUCGUGGGGGAUAACGUAGGGAAACUUACGCUAAUACAGCAUACGACCUACGGGUGAAAGCAGGGGAUCUUCGGACCUUGCGCGAUUGAAUGAGCCGAUGGCGGAUUAGCUAGUUGGCGGGGUAAAGGACCACCAAGGCGACGAUCCGUAGCUGGUCUGAGAGGGUGGAUCGCCACCUUGGGACGGGAGCACGGCCCAAGCUCCUACGGGAGGGCGCAGUAGGGAAUUUUUGGCAAGGGGCGGAAAUCUGACCGCACCCCGCCGCGGGAGUGAAGAAGGUCGUCGGGUUGUAAAACCCUUUUGGUAGGGAAAAAAGUGGGGGAGAUUAGAACCCUCAUCUUGUGACGGUACCUAAAGAGAAAGAGCCGGCUAACUACGUG